GUAGGUAGUGAUGCUAAAGGAGUAGGAGGCAGUUUAAUAAGUUAUACAUGUAAGCUUUAAUCAGUCUUCCUUUUGGGUGGGUUAGUCAUAUACAAUUAGGAGUUGUGGUCUGUGACCAUGUACCUUUUGUAAAUCUUAAAAUGGAUAGCUGUGUCUGGUUGAACUAGUGAGUCUGUUGCAGGUUCAUGAUGUGGAUCGUCUGAAUGCUGCUCAAUGAUUAUUCCUUUUUCUUUUCACAAGAACUGGGAGAUGGUGUGCCAUGCUUAAAUAUUUUCAUUUAUGUGAUGAAUGCAGCGGAGCAGUGAAAAUCGUGAUUGAUAAUGUAAAGUGCUGCUUGCUUGAUGCGACAGUUAGUGGUGAGAUUAAAUAGAACCGCUGGAUAUGGCUGUUUGGUUUAUACAUGUGGCUUCAUUAUGACAAUGUUUAAUAUGUUUGUUGUUUGAUCAUGUGAGGGUCCUAAAUCCUAGUAACUCAGUAUUUGCUAGUGAAAGAAGUCAGGACUCAGGAUAUGGUGUUUUCUUUUCUUUCUUUUUUUUUUUGCGCCAGGCCGAGUUUUCUGUGAGUGUUGGCACUUGGCAGCUUAAAGCUGUGGGCAUGCUGUUGAGAAAGGUAUGUUUAUCUGAAGUUUGGUGCUUGGAUUCGGAAUUUUUGAAUCAGUAGCUACUCCCUUCGUCCCAUAUCUUUACUAUUUAAAAAAUUCGUUACGGUGAUAGUGAAGCCAAGGACAGACGAUCAAACAUGAGAAAGGUACAUCAACAAUUUACAUGCCACUCUACAACGGAAAAAAAAGAAAGAAAAGGAAACGGCGCACACUCCUCGUCCGCAACAAAAAAAAAAAAAAAAAGGAAACGGCGCCGACUCCUCUCCCUCGACCGCCGCCCCUCCUCCGACUUCUCUCCCUCCACCGCCGCCUCCUCCACACCAUCACCGCCCCUCAAUCCAUCCUCGCGCCUCCCUCGACCGCCGCCCCUCUGCUGUCGUCGCAUCCCGCCUCCUCCACACCAUCGCCGCCCCCCAAUCCACCCUCGCGACUCCCCACAUCGACGCGUCGGCGCCCCCAUCGUCACCGUCGAGGAUUCGCCAUCGACGCCCUCCUCUCUCUCGCACUCACCCCGUGACCCGACGCCGCCGACUCCUCCCUCCUCCCUCAUCGCGCCGAAACCCUAGACCCGCACCGCCCUCGACCGCCGCCCCUCCGCCGUCGUCGCAUCCUGCCUCCUCCCCAAGGCCGGCGCCAACUAUUCCCAAGGUUGGUGUACUCCCCUUCCUCUUGGUACUAGGUCUCUAAAUCUGCAUAUUCACAUGUUAAUCUAUUCCCUCUCCUCGGUUCGACGUCUAUUGGUGAGUUAAUCCAUAUUAACCUUGGUUGGGCACAUAUAGGAAGGCAGAUACAGGCAGGCACACACAUUGUCAUCAACCGAUGUAAUUUGAUUGUGACUGCAUGCCCAUAACAUAAUGCUUAACACAAGGACAGAUUGAACAUAAGCACAGCAACAGUAACUAAAUACAAUGGGUUCUGAACUUUUUUUUUUCCCUGAAGAAAAUGGGUUCUGAAGUCUGAACUGAGUUAAAAAAAAAGUUCAUUUCUUCUAGGACCACAGCAUCAGGUUGAUGCAGUUGGCUGAAGCCAUUAGAUCAGAAAUUGAUCAGGAAAGACUAAUUCUGCUAUUCAGCAAGACAAAAGUCAAAACUUUACACCCACUGUCCCGCUCGAAUGAAAUCUGAGGCUCGAAACAUGAUACAAUAAUCUUUUUGAUAGAAACAGCAUAUACAUUUGGUUGGCUCACUUGGCCCAAAGGGAAUUUUUCAAUGCAUAAAUGCUUAUUUUUAGUAUCGUGCCGAUGUCUUCCAUACUUCGAUUUGUCGGAGUGGGAAAUGAAUGGUGCAGUGCAAGUUAUCGAGGUGGUACAUUACUGUUUAAGUUAUCUAAACAGGAUCGUACAUAUAAAUAGAUGACUUGAAUAUGUUUCACAGUGUAAAUAAUGGUAACAUUGGGGAAAAGAGUAUGCCAUGAGUAUUUAGCUUUUGUUAUACUAACAUACUAAUAUCCAUUGGCGCAAGUUAUACUAAUAUCCAUUGUUUUAUCCUUUGUGUUCAUGAAAUUUAUGGCCGUUUCUUAGGUGGAUUUCGUGUCCAAAAAUUCGCUGUGAUUUGAUUUGACCUUUUUGUAUUCAUCAGGAGUGCUGAUAACAUAACUUGUAUGGCUUUCAUAUACAAUAGCAGGGAGUUGAAGGAGUUGUAGUUGUACCAAUUUCUCUCCGUUAUUUCCCAGCCGAUCCCAUCGCCCAUGACCAUGUUGCCCGCCUAUCCUCCGUCGCUGCCUCCACGAGUCGCCUCACGUCUAUCUCCUCCGCGCAACCAUCAAUCCCGCGUCGAUCUCCUCCGCGUCCCCCUUCUGCGAGCCCCGGCCACCAACGACGGCGCCCUCUAUUGCGGCAACCUCCUCCUCAGCCGGUGGUAAGUAACGUUGUAAAAUUUUUUUCAUGUUAUGAUUUCUUCCAUACCCCUCCCCCCCAUUUGUUUAUAAUGGAGUUUAUAGUACAUCUAUAAAGCGACGUUUAUUUGUUUGUUGUGGAUGAAAAUUUAGUGGAUCAAACACAUUAGUCUGGGGUUAGUUUACAAUUUCUAAUGUUAGUUUGCAAACUCCAUAUCCCAAAAAGUAUUGUCAUGAAAAAAUAUUGAAUUUAUAUAUGAUUAUGCUUUUCAUAUGGUUAGUGAAAAAUGCGAGUCAGGGAUUUAGUAAGAAAUGCUGGAGCCCUCAUUGUUCCUCUGCUCAAAUUGACCAAAUAGUACUGUCCACCUCGAACUACGUAGAUUCUACUCUUCAUAUGCCUACUCUUUUUUGAUCAUUUGUACUGAGUCAAAUAAAUUUGAUAUGUAGCUUUGGUGUCCUUAAAUGGCAUGAUUGUUUUAUAAAGACCCUGUGAUUUUAUAAAGACCAUGUUUCCUUUGUAUGGACCUAUGGGUAACUGCAAACAAACUUAUUCAGUAGGUACUGAACUUAAGUACUCCCUCCGUCCUAAAAUGUAGCUAUUUCUAGCACAGUGUCUUGUCCCAAAAUGAAGCUAUUUCUUCACCUACCUCCUCCUCUCAACCAAUCACAACCAUUCUUCUUCACCUACUUUCUCUUUUCAACCAAUCACACACUUCCUCCAAUCAUUCUCACCUACUUUCUUAAUACCCGUGCCAACCUAAAAAAUGGCUUUAUUUUGGGACGGAGGAAGUAUUUCUUUUAUUUUUAGUCCAUGCAGGACAGGAUUUAAAAGAGAUUGCUGGUUUAUUUACAGCUUGUGCAUUUCUAAAUAUUUGCAAUCAUUAAUGUAUUAUUUGAAUUUUGUAGCACACUAUCAAGUAGAACACAAACUGAAAGGCCAUAAGUCCUGUGAUUUCUGCAACACCAGGAUUAUAUCCACAUUUGUUCUCAAUAUUAAUUCAGACAAAUGAAAAAGCUGCUAAUAUAUCAAUGACCACUACAUAUCCUAUAUAGCAACUGAUUAAAGCUUCUAAUAAUAGAAAUAUUUACUAAAAUAUUUUCCUUUUCUUAGCAAUGGGAAGUGUUCGGGCUGCCACACCAUUAGGUGCAGUGAGACUGAAUCUUGGAGAUAAAUUAUUGAAGAACUGAACUCUAAUUGUGAGUGCCUUUGUACUUUCUAUUCUUUUCACCCUGAUGGAUCUUGUUUGUAACUGGUUUUAAAUUCAAUCACCUAUUAACUUGUCUCCUGAUUGCUAAAGAAGAAGAUAUGCAGCGCAAUUCCAGUAACCAAGGUUCAGAUCAACUCAGUUGAGGGAGAGGCAGUAUUGCCGCCGCCUGGCUGCGCUCCCUCGAAGUCACCUACUACCUCACCAGGUCGGUACUACAUGCAGACCAAGGUUCAGAUCAACUCAGUUGAGGGAGAGGCAGUAUUGCCGCCGCCUGGCUGCGCUCCCUCAGCAUCACCUACUACCCCGCCAGGUCGGUACUACAUGCAGCGACGGCCGCCGUCUCCACUCCUAGCAUGCAUGCAGUUGUUCGCUUCGCCUGGAUGAGUGAUUUGAGUCUCAUGGGUGGCGUUGUGCGCACCGGGGUGGUUGCUUUCAAGCAUUGGGCACUGGCCAUGCCGUCGUUGUUGCUGGUGGUGGCAGCGCAGGGGAUGGUGCUCUACAUGGCCUCCAACUUUCUGCUCCUACUUGCUUGGCCACUAUCUAUGGUGAGACUCUUACUGUGAUCACUUCGGUAGUACAGUUCCAGCAUUGUUGCAUUUGCUGCUGCAGUUUAGUGAUACAUAUUCAGAAAUUGUUCCCUUAUUUUUGUCUUUUGCCAGAUGAAUUUGCCUGCGGCGUGUGGUACUGCAAUAGGGGAGGAUAAACCCAUCGAGGCCAUCUCAAUUACUGGCAUCCUUUGUGCUUCACCUAGGCAAUGUACAGUUAGAGGCAAUAGUAAAGGUCUGAUUCUGCCUAUAAAUUCUAAUCAUUAGCCUACGGUCAGUGGAAGGGAAAAUUUAAAACAGAUUCUAAACUGAGACCUAACAUUGAUUUUAUAUUAUGGACUUAAAUCUGAAAUUGAUUUUGCUUGAUGGAUUUGAAAUAAAAAAGUAGCACUGCAUUUGUAAUCAAUUUGAAUUUAAAAUAUUGUGUAUCAUGGACUUGGGGUUUGGGUUUUAUAAUGUCUAUUAGAAUUUUUUAAGGCUUAUCAACAUAUAACACUAGAUGUAUUUUUAAUCACCCGUUGCAACGCACGGGCACUCAACUAGUUAUAGGGGAUUUUGAGUUUUUACUUGCACUGUUUGACCACUUGUCCUAUUCAAAAAAAUUUGGAAUUAUUAUUUAAUUUUUUUGUGACACUUUAUUAUCCAAAGUACUUUAAGCACAACUUUUUGUUUUUUGUAUUUGCACAAAUUUUAUAAAUAAGACGAGUGGUCAAACAGUGCAAGUAAAAGCCCAAAAUCCCUUAUAUUAUAGGACAGAGGGAGUAGUAAACAUCAUGGGCGCAUACGUUGAAGAAAUAGAGAAUAGUGAAAUUACUGUAUAUAUAUCCAAACUGACACCGUGUUAUAUACAUGAAUCAAAUCAAUCCCAACACGCAGUAAGAAAUAUUGAAGAAAAUCGUAGCACUGAAUCCUGAAUUCCUGAUCUGAUACUAUCUGUAACGAACUAAUGUGCCGCCCGUGUAGAAUAUAAUACUCUACUAUGUACUACUAGUGCAGUGCACCUGCGUAACAAAGCAGCAUAUCAUACGGCUUCUCGUCUUGUCCCACGUCGCGAUGCGGCAUGCCCACCUUACGUUGCGUGCUUGGAAACUUGCAAAUUAAGUUGGAAUCACAUGAUCAAUCAGAGCUUGGUGCGGUCGCUGCACUGCUGGCUACGCACGGCCAUCUGCCCUCACUCCAUCCAAGUGGUUGCCCCAACUCCUAUGCCUUAUUUCUUUUCUUUGCAUGCUUCUUUGUUCCACAAGAACGGAGACUUCGCGUCUGCUCCACCCCUCUCCCCAAUUAAACUGGGAAUCACUAAUAGGAGAAAAGGAGGUGAAAUUAAAUCUUUCCAAAUUUCCAUUAGUCAUCCUAAUUCCCAAAUCUACCAAUCAGAGCCUAGAGCAAAGGCUGCAAGGAUCGGGACCUCAAAACAUAGAUGUCGUGAACGUCUCAUUUGACAACUUCCUUGUUUGGUAGUCGAUAGCGAUUUUUAUUGCCGGAUUUAUCUAAACUAAACUGAUGAGAAGCGUCUGUCACACUUUUCUUCACCAAUUUGAACUAGCUAAUGAUGAUAUGUGCAUAUUUUUAUUUGUUUUGAAGAAUAUUCGCUUGAGUGUAUUUUGGAAGUUUGUGACGAAUGGAAUGCUCGUGAUAUUUGGAAGUUUGUAAUGAAUGGAAUACUCGUGAUAUUAUUAUAGACAAUAACUUAUUAUGUUUUAACUAGUCCAUAACUACGUACUACUCACGAAUAUUCUCUACUUUUUUAUUAAGGAAAUUAUGUGCAAAACAUUUUCAAAAGUUUUUGCCCUAGCAAGAUAGGCAUAAACCAAUGAAAAUAGACAAAGACCCAACAAGAUAGGCUAAGACUGGAGGAUGCCUAGAGAGGUUGUUGCCAUCACCAUUGCCAUCUAGUGUGGAUAGGGGAGCACCGCCGCCCUCGCUGCCUAGGAAGGGCUAAGAAGGACUAGGGGAACACUGCUACCUCGCGCUAAGGGAGGACCUCUGUCGUGCCGAGAGGGGCUGGUUGGCUAGGGGAGCACCACCACCGUCCCUCGUGAGCUGCAAUGAGAGAGGCUGGAUAAUGCCUCUACCAUGCAUCACCAAACGGAUUCUAUCUAUGAGUAUUAGAUGAUAAAAUAUCUUGGAUUCAUUGUCAAUCUUUCAUUUUAACCCUUUCAUUUUGUUAAUAUUAUGAAAAGUUAUUCAUUCAAUUAUUUUUUAAUGCAUGCCUUGAGUUUAUAUGUAUUUUCACAUAAACUUCUCUGUACUGUUAAAAUUGAGUAUCAAAGUCUCACAGGCUUAUUCUUUAACCUGACUGGCGUGUUUCAUACGAAUACAUAAAUGACGGAACAAAGGUAUCACAGGUGUGUUUCAUAUGGAGAGAUGAAUGGCAAAACAAGGUAUGUAAAGUUAUAAUUUUCUUCACUGGUCAUGAAACACAGGUAUUUUGCUUGCAAUAGAUAAAUUCCAUUAAACCAGGAAAACAUAAAAUUAACUGUCUCUUAAUCAUUAUGAUCUUCGAUAACCCGCAAACUAGCCUCAACAUAGUAUACACAUGAAACCCACUCAUUUAAUGAUUAUUUGCACCUAUAGAUUUCUAAAUAAUCACGACCAUUAUUAUUUUAUUAUUUUUUCCUAAGAAAAAACUCCUUAGGCAGUGGGAAACUUUCAUUUUUCACCAAAAUGAUGAUAUGUAUAGGCACGCCUAUUUCGCGGGAAGGAUAUGCUAAAUUGCUACACGCGCGCCAAGGUUGCCCGCCCAAAUUAGUUUUCCCUCCUUUUGGUGCAUUUUACUCUCCAACCCACUGAUUCUUUAUUUUUCACAUAUAUUCCUCAGUGGUCCAGCAGAGCUGCCUUGCUCCUCGCUAGUUGUUGUACAAAGGAAUAAAAUUAGCAAAUGAGACAUUCUAUGGGGUGUUUUGUGAAAUCUUUGUUUUAUUUUAAUAGAGGGGAUUGUUUUGGCGGCGGGAGGCCUCAUCCCAAUCCCGGUUGGUGCCACCCAAACCAAUCUCGUGCCCCAAUCCAGAGCCGCCGCGAGGUAUUUCCUUUCUUCCAUUUUCUUAACCAUUUCUACUUCUCAAUCUUUCUCUCACGCAGAUCCAAAAUGCUCCUCUUCUUUCUAUGGAUUUUUUUAUGGUUUUCACAUGUUAGGGUUCUAGUGAGCUUUAUCUCUUUUUUUCAUGUGAUUUUUCGGCUUUUCUCACUUCUUAAAGCCCUAAAUCUACUUCUUUUACCAUGUGAUUCUAAUUUCUAGGUGCGCCAACAAGGAACUCUUAUCCGGUUUGCUCCCCAUCUCAUGUAUUGGGUUGGACUGGAAGAUCCAUCCGGGCUUGGAUUGAUUUCUUCUUUUGUUGGUAAGGAACCCUGUUUUGCUUAAUUAGAUAUCUGUUGUAGUCUUGUCCCCUUUGUUUGUGGUGUGAGGGAUCAAAUCCAAACUUCUUAGCGCACCACGUCGCCGUCAAGCGAGCGCUCGGGUAAGGUUUAUGGUGUUAUUCAGCGGCGGCAUGCGCAAGCCAAGACACCCAAUAGGGCUACAAUAGAUCUUGAUGUAGAGACCACACGUAUUUGACAUUUGGAUCUCUGGAUUAGUACCAUUAUAAUACUAGCAACUUUGAGUAUUUCACUGUGGUGUUCAGUUAGGGCGUGUACGUGUUUGGUUCCCAGCAGAUUUGCCUGCUCUUGCAGAAGCCAUGGAUGGGGUCACCACUCACCAGUACCACCAUCCCUCCUCAUUUGUUCCAAACCAGUGGAAAGCUAGGGUUCCGCCGACUCGCGAGUGGCGGGAGGGCCGGUCGUCCGUCAGCACUGCAUCCUCCCUCUCUUUCGCUAGCCGCCAUCGCUCUCUUCCACUGGUUCGCUCUCUCCGUCUCUCUGCUAUGCCCCUCUCUUUCGUCGACUCUUUCCGUUGAGCUCUCUGGUAAGGGCUAGGUUGUCUUCUCCUCCCUUCCUUCGAUUUUAGCCGAUUUGUUUGGAUUAGACCGACCGUGUCCCCUUCAUAAAUAUGCUAGAUCUACUAAAAGCUGACAUCUUUCUUGGUUGAUUUCGAUGGAAUGAAAUGUCUAGUGGCUUGCUUUUCAUUUUUCCUACACUUAUUCCUAUUUUUCCUGUUGAUUUGUGUUAUGCCAUUGUAUCUUUGGCUACAAAUACAAGUUACUGAUAAGGCCGGAUACAAUAGUGCCUUCUUUUAAAUUGAUACUGACAGAUACACACUUGAUUAAUAGUGCUUAUUUGUGAUGCAUAAGAACAGAUAUGCCCGCACUUGACCUUAUUCGAUAAGGUCAGGCAACCAAACAUGCCCUUUCUAAGUUUCUGUCUUUCUGUGAUCUUUCUCAGUAUUUUAUAGUUCAAAUGAUCUUAGCAGAACUGAGGCCACCUCUACACUUGAACUGAGCAGAAUUUAUAAGAGUACAUGAACAGAUUUUUCUACACUUGUUCUUUUUUUCGUGCUGUUAGGCUGGGAAAGAUGGCCAAUGAUGAUAUAUGCUGCUGUUUGUGAUGCAUGUGAAUAGAUUUUUGCUCUACACUUGUUCUCAUUUUCUUGCGGUUUCUUUUUUCCUACACUUGGUCUUAUUUUCCUUUUCCUUGUACUUUUUCUUUUGCUACAUUUGAUAGAUACUGGAAAGAACAGAUACCAAUGACAGUAGCUACUUCACAUUCUUCAUAUAUCUGAGGCCAUUGUUCUGCAUUUAUUUACCUGCUGGAAAUGAGGCUCAAUGAUGUCAAAUUUCUGCACAUAUUUGCUACAUUUUCGAGUUAUUGAUGUCAGGCAAAUACUAUCAAGUUCCUUGUUCAUCUUUUGAUAUCAACUGAUGUACUCAUUUUUUUAGGUAACCACACUUGAUUUUGACAUGAUCAAGUUUUUAUAUGAAACCGAUACACUCUGCACUUGCUCUUUUGGUAAAGAUCAUACUACUAUUAAGUGUUGAUGCUCUUGGAACCUGAUCUCUGCAACUCAGAUCCUGUACUAUUUCAAAGGUACAGGUUAUCCUGUUUACUUUUACUAUGUUUCAGGAAAAUGUGAUAAUGGAAAAACUUGUGAGAUCAAGUGUAGAUAUACUGGAAAAACGCUGGCUAUAGAGAAUAUUUUUAAUCUUUUAUGUAUGAGUCAUAGCUGCAUAUAAACCAUUGAUACAUAUAUAGUAGGCAAAAAGUGUGGAUGAAGGUCUUCCAAGGAGCUAAUGCAUAGAAAGCUUUUUAUUUUUUAGGUUUCCCCAUUAUCCAAUUAGACAGUCGGAAGGUGCUUUAUAAAAUAGAUGUUGAUGGUUAAUUGAUAUCUUUUUACAGAAGUAAAGAAACAUAUAUAAUUGUUGUAUAUAUACUUGGACUCAGACUCUCAGAGUGAUGGGUGAACAGUUUGAAAUUCGGUAAGAAAUAACGGUUAUCGACAAAAGGGCUUUGGUUAUAUUAGAUGAUGUCAGUGAUUUCACUCGGCUUCUAACAAGAGUUGAAGCUCUUUGCUUAUUAGUGGCUGACGACUACCUUGGCGCCUUGCAUAGUCCUUUACUCUUUUAGAACAAUUUUACAUUCAUAGCAGUUGCCGUUACAUCCGGGGCUAGUGUUUUGUCGAUAACCACUUAAUUUUGCUUUAGUUUCUCCUGUGACCAUUUUUGCCUUAGUAUCCCCUAGAAACCUUUUGGAAUCUUCUUGGGUGUCCCUUGUUUGUUUCGGUGAUCAUUUUCUGUUAUGUCCUGGUUAGUUUGUGGUAUUUAAUUUUUUCUAUUUCUUAUUUCAUUGUAGGUUUUCAUUUUGCAAGUCAUAGCAGAGGUUGACUCCACAUUACUCCCAAAUGGAUCAAGGGGUGGAUAAGAAUGUUAUUGAUAAUUCGCUAGUUUCAAACUGUGACUUCCCUGUUGUAAAAAAGUUGGACAAGUGUGUAAAUGAAGAAGCUUCUGUGCAAUCUCCCUUUGAAAAUAAGGACACAAGAUCCCUUGGCAUGGUAUGUGAUCAUGAAAAUAACAAGAGUGGUGUUGCUGAGGUGAUUACACCACCAGAGAAUGAAGCGAUUGAAUCAUAUAUCUCAAAAAGUGUUGCAGAUGAAGAUCCUUCAUAUGGAUGUCAGACACCGCGCGAAAGCAUCUUUGAUCCUUUUGCUCCAGGACCAGAGGAGUUAGCUUGUGCACCAAAGAAGAAGGUGACCAAGGCACCAGAACUUCCUUCGCGAAGGCAGCUAAGUUUUGAUUCAGGUGAUUACCCUGUUAAAAGGUUAAGUUUUGAAUUCGAUGAUGCUGAGGAGGAGGAUCAGUUUCUCGAACGGAUCUGCAUGAUGUUUAUUGAUCUGAUUAUCUCAAAUCAAGCACUAGAGACGACUGGAAAGGAUCUGAUAGGUUCUAAUUCACCUAGAAGCUGUGAGACCCCUUCUUCAGAGCCUCUACUUACAGGCAUUGCAGACACCUGCCCAGAUGCGCCACUGAGGCGACCUCUUAAAGCGGUACAGCUCAGCCCAAGCAUUUGUCGAAAGCUCGACUUUGAUUCAGUCAGUCCAAGGUGUUUAUUCGUUAAAGAGAAUAAGUGAUAUCUUGACACCCUUUUGAUCUGCCCAGGAACAGCAUUUUGGGGCAGUUUUUGGCUACCAAUUUCAGUUGCCCUGUGCCAAUAUGGUAACUUUGCUAACUGAAACAUGUAGGUAGUGAUGCUAAAGGAGUAGGAGGCAGUUUAAUAAGUUAUACAUGUAAGCUUUAAUCAGUCUUCCUUUUGGGUGGGUUAGUCAUAUACAAUUAGGAGUUGUGGUCUGUGACCACGUACCUUUUGUAAGUCUUAAAAUGGAUAGCUGUGUCUGGUUGAACUAGUGAGUCUGUUGCAGGUUCAUGAUGUGGAUCGUCUGAAUGCUGCUCAAUAGUAGUUCAUUUUUCUUUCACAAGAACUGUGAGAUGGUGUGCCGUGCUUAAAUGUUUUCAUUUAUGUGAUGAAUGCAGCGGAGUAGUGAAAAUCAUGAUUGAUAAUGUAAAGUGCUGCUUGCUUGAUGUGACUGUUAGUGGUGAGGUUAAACAGAAAACCGCUGGAAAUGGCCGUUUGGUUUAUACAUGUGGCUUCAUUAUAUGUUUUGAAACCUGUAACAAUGUUUAGUAUGUUUGUUGUUUGACCAUGUGAGGGUCCUAAAUCCUAGUAACUCAGUAUUUGCUAGUGAAAGAAG
rnacentral:lncRNA from 1 species